CCAACGACGACUAUUACAGCUAGGAUUAAUUAAAAUCGAUGCGCUCGAGGUGGAAGGAGGGAGAAAACGCGGUUAGGUCACCGUUGACCCAACUCCUCCGGACCGAGUCCAUUCGCGCUUUAUCAGUGUCAAUGGAUUUAACGCUAAUUUCAUUCGCGUUACGGGCGUCGUUUCUAUUUGCAAUUCAAACAGACCACCGACUCUCCUCGUUAUGACGACAAUAUGCGCAUAAUCUAUUUUAUAUCGCGCAAUGAUAAUUUAUAACGCGAUCGAUAUCGAUCGUGCGAUCAGUGAAGUCGAAAAGAUAAUUGCGUCCACUAUGUUCCAUUAGAUGCGCGUAAACAAGUUCCUUCCCUUCCCUUUUUUUCCAUGAUCGUAACUUGCGACUGAAUUAGUUCGUGGCGCCAUCUGAAACAGUGUUCUUUCGCUUUUAAUACGUUAACUAUCGCGCAUUCGUGACGCUUAUUUAACUAUUACGAAGAAUCUUCGUAAGUAUUUGGAAAGAUAUUCCACAGGUGUAAUAAAACUAUCGAAUUAUUAUGAAAAUAAUACAAAAAUGAUUUAUUAAAAGAACGUAAAACUUUAAAGCAUUCUAUACAAAGCUGAAGUUGGUUAGAACAAAAAGUUGUCCGCUAUAUGUCAUAUAUGUCUGCUAUAUGAUUCACUAAGACGUAACUUUUCUAUUUUUCUUUUCGACAUUGGAACGAAUUAAGACAGAAAUUUUAACUCGGCAAAGAUUCGAAGAGUGGCGUGUUCGUAUACAGUGGCAAACUGACAAGUGAGGACCUCUGGAAUGUAACGAUGAAAACAAAUAAUGUAGAAGAUUAUUCUUGCGAACACCAGAGACUUGCAUUAGUAGAAUAUCGGUGGAAGAAUCUAGUGAAGUACGCUUGGUACAGUGACGUGCAUAUCCUGAAGGAGAUUUCGUUGGAAACACGCGUGACAGUCAACGCGUUAAGAAAAGUCGCGAUGACCAGUUUCCAGUGCACGAUUUCGAACGAUACGGCGCACGAGAAGGUUAGGAAAUUGUCUAUCGAAACGGUUUGCGCGCCACUGGCAGAGAACGCUGUAUCUGUACGGAAUAUACGAAAAAUCGUGGCAAAAUUUGGAAAAAAAGGAGAAAGAAUUUAUUCGUACACCUAAAAUGUAUAUUACAUGUAAUGAGAUAAUUCACCAAUCUCCAUUUGCUGAAUUAUAUCUCCCACGUGAGCAUCCUCUCGAAGUCGAUCAACAAACCAAACUAAAAAGUUUCAGAACGACAGAUACAAAAUAUUUUCGAAUAUUUCGAUAGAAUGAGUAAAUAUGAGUCGGAAGAAAAAGGAGAUUAAACGAGGAAACGUUUCGUUUUCAAUUUACAUCCACGAAGAAAGGGAGAAGCUGCGAUUCGACCUUCGAUUUAUCGAACAGGCUAAUUAAAGAUCGCGAAUACGAUGCUCGAGCAGCCGCCGAGUUUUUGUUCCCAGGCCAGACGGGCAGGCGCAAUAGGUAAUUACGGAUGGAUCCGAAACAGUGGCUAAUUAACGAGGCUUCUUCGAUGCCGGACACGUUCGUACCCUUCCACGUACAUUUCACGAAUUCCGGAAAUAUAGCGUUCCACCACGUCCUCCUCUAAACCCUGCAAAAUCAGCGAAAUUUCUUCUUACCAUCUCCCUUUGCCGUCGCCAAAUCGCGAAUUCGGUUCUUCUUCGGCCUUUCGCCGCCUCUCCCCUCCCUCCUCUCCUUCCUGUUCCUAGUUUUCGCGAAUCCGUUAGACCGUCCGUUUCGUCGCUAAUUACCGCGUCAAUUAGACGGAACGACAUCCUCGAGGAUGGCAGCCAGGUGUGUUUAAAGUACGCAAUUUUGUCGGGUAGCCGAGGCGCGGCGAGACGAGGAGGGGGGAGAAAUGGCGCGAUGAAAUACCGAGAGAUGCCGCUCUCGAGAGUCGACGGGGCAAAGAGGAGCUAGCGAAGACCUCUGAGGGGGCUCGUUAUCCGUGUGUACGAGGCUCAGACAAACAGCCUCAUUUGUCACGCGCUGACCUCCCUACCGACCUUCCUCCUCCUCCUCUUCUUCUUCGCCUCUUUUACACCACUUCUUACCUUGUCUACGCCGGUUGUUUGCAAUUUUUCCCUCCCAUCGAAUCGAGUAAAUAUAUUUAGAGUCGACCGGGGAGAGAGUAAUUUAUUAUAUAUUCUUGUAUAUAUAUAUCCGUAGCGAGGAGAAACGAAAGGGAAAACAACCAUAUAUUCGAGAGUAAGUUGUUUUCGACGUCGAGGAUUUUUUAACUUUACGGGAAUAAGGAUCUCCGCGCCAAUUUCUAGAUUUAGGUUAUGAAAUAAUUAAAACUUUUAAUUCUCAUUCUCUAUUCGAAUCGAAUAAAUAAAGACGAAUUUUUGAAAUAGCGUGUCAUGUUUUUUACAACAAGGAAUCUAACGAGUAAGCUCUAGGAGAAGGAACGAUAACGAUAUAUCAAAAAGUCGAAGAUUCUAUAAAUUUUCUAUUCGUCGAAUUCAGCCUGGUAUCGGGAAAUCGUUCGAUUCAUUUGUAAAUCUGUGCAUUUGCGAAGAGAAGUUUCGUAACGUAGCAUAGCUGGAGGCACGGUUCAACGAUAAUGCCCUAUCGCCGACUCCGCUUUUCCGAGACGGUGACCAACCGGAAAUUAAAAUAACCGUGGAUACGUUGUAACUAGCGUCUAUUGUAAAUUUGUAUAUAAUGGAAAACUUGAAUUUAUUCGAGAACCUGAUAUGUCGCUCGUAAUUUACGUGAGAAACUAUUUCGAUUUUUACUUAACUCGAAACAUUCGCAACGAAUGGAAUAUAAAUGGCGCGAAACAAAUUUCUCCGAACGUACGUAUAUACUUGAUAUUAAAAUAUCGAGAUGAAAAUACGCGGGGUAGGAAAAUGCUAUAAAAAAAAAAAAGAAAAAAAUAUUCGACCGCGUUCGAACGCGGCAAAAUGAUCGAUAUUCUCGCGAAAUUUCUGUUCGAAGAGAUACCGCAAAGGUGGCGCUAAUGUAUUAGGUCGACUUAAUUAAAUCGACUCGAUUGAUCGACGAAUAUAUUUCAAACGCGGCUACGUUCACGGUGAAGCUCGCCUUGUACAUUCCGCCUAUAAACGGAACGACGGGAACAAACGUCGGUAAUAUGCCUAUGGAACGAGUGUAUUUUUCAAACGUCAGGGAUUAGAUUAGAGAGAGAGAGAAAUUAAACGAGGAUGUUGGUUAGGUCGUACAGGUUAACGAAAAAUGUGUGGAAACUACGAGACGAGAACAAAGUGCGAAAAAUGUUACGAGAUUAUCGAGUUAGGUUAGGUUAACGAAUAUAGAGUAUAGAUUCGUUCGAUCGUUACGAGUGAUAAAUCAAAUAAUUUUUUAAAGAUAGAUAUAUUUAAAAACUCGAUGUAUUCUUAUUAAACGUUAAACGUUAAUCUUGCGUGCAUCGAUUCGAGCAAUCGACGAAACGAAGAUCGCCGCAAUUAGAGCACGAUAGAAUCGAUAAUGCGAUUGUAACGAACGUUGAAUUUUCAGUACGGUUACGUCGGAUUAUUAUCGAUUGUAAACAAUCCGAGGCAUUAAACUAUAUCGAG